GAUGAAGAACGUAGCGAAAUGCGAUAAGUAGUGUGAAUUGCAGAAUUCAGUGAAUCAUCGAAUCUUUGAACGCACAUUGCGCCCCUUGGUAUUCCAUGGGGCAUGCCUGUUCGAGCGUCAUUUGUACCCUCAAGCUUUGCUUGGUGUUGGGUGUUUGUCCCGCGUUGCGCGUGGACUCGCCUUAAAGCGAUUGGCAGCCGGCAUAUUGGCCUUGGAGCGCAGCACAUUUUGCGCUUCUAGUCAUGAAUGUUGGCGUCCAGUAAGCCUAUACAUUUGCUCUUGACCUCGGAUCAGGUAGGGAUACCCGCUGAACUUAAGCAUAUCAAUAAGCGGAGGA
rnacentral:misc_RNA from 1 species